rnacentral:tRNA from 1 species
GCGGUCAUCGUAUAAUGGCUAUUAUACGUGCUUGCCAAGCACGGGAUGCGAGUUCGAUUCUCGCUGGCCGCA